CGCCCUUUCUCCUGCACAAGUUUCCCAUCAGCACCUGGCUUGAGGCCACAGGCUUCCCAGGGUCAGGAUGCAGGGCACGGGGCCUGAGGGCUGCCCUCUCUUGGGGGUUGGCUUCAGGUAUCUGGAGCAACAUUUUCUCCCUGAACUUGAUGGACACCUGGCAUAACCUGGCCUGGUCCGGUGAGGAGUGGAAGCAGCACGUCAAGGAGGAGAUACAUAACACAGGUGGGAGAGGAUCACGGGGGACACCUCGGGAAGGAGGACUGCAUAUCCAAGCCCCUCGCUGGAGUAGUGCCUGUUUCUCUGCAGAGGAGCUGGGGGACUGCUUGAGGACCUCUACAUGGACGGAGGGCUCGUGGCUGCAGCCUGGAACAGCCCUGGCACGGGCAUUUAAGGGGAUCCUGACAGGAAGGCCGCUCUGCCACCGCGGUGCCAACUUCCUCCAUGGCCUUCAGCUACACCAGGGCUACUGUAGCCAGAAAGACUUCUCUACCUGGGCGGACUGCAAAUUGGACUGCACCCCUAGCCAGCUGACCCCCCAGCAACCCCAGCUCUGCCUGGUGGACACUGGCUACUUGAUCAACAACAGCUAUCCCUCCAUGUUCCGGCCAGGCCGCGGGCUAGACCUCAUCCUCUACUUCGGCUACUCCCUGUCCUCACAUUUUGAGGCCCUGCAGCAGGCUGAGCUGUACUGCAGGACCCAGAGGCUGCCUUUCCCCCAUGUGGAGGCCAGUGCCGAGGACCAAUGCCAGCCCAAGGAGUGCUACCUGUUCUCAGACCCCACUUGCCUGGAGGCCCCGGUCCUGCUUUACUUCCCUCUGGUCAAUAUCUCCUUCAAGGAUCACUCCACCCCUGGUGUCCGGCGCAGCCCCACAGAGCUCCAGGCUGGCCAGGUGGAUCUCAACAAGACCACCACACCCUAUUUCCUGCACAACAUGACCUACUCAGAGGAAGAUUUUGACCGCCUGCUGCAGCUGAAUGACUACAACCUGCGGAACAGCCGGGACACUGUCCUGCAGGCCUUAAGGAUGGCUCUGAAACGUAGGGCUCCAGAGGCUGGGCCUUCAGGGGCCCCAAGACCCUGAGGGCCACACUGUGACAGUCCAGGACCUGGAGGCUUAAUCACCUGCUGCUGGGCACAGCGAUAGCACCCCCUGGCUAUAUUCCCAGGUCUCCUGCCCCCCCCACCUCAGCAGCGCAUCUUAUCACCCAGAGUGGGCUACACCCCGAUGUUCACAGCUGGCUUGAGAGUUGGAAAUAAACUCUUCCUCAGGCUAGCGUUUUAGCUGGGUAUGGAGGUGGACACCUGUAAUCCAAGCACUCUGGAGGGCUAAGGCAGGAAGAUUGCAAAUUCAAGCCCAGGCUGGUCCACUUAGUGACUUAGCAAGGCUAUUAUCUAUCAAUCAAUCAAUCAAAAGAUGAGGGAUGUAGCGCAAUGCAAAGGUCUUGGGUUCAAUCUCCAGUACUGGGGUGGGGCAGCUGGUCAUAUCAGGUAAGUCUUCACAGGUAACCACUUUCAUAUGUGAGCAGAAUGGAGGCGGCUCCAGGCACCAGGAAUCACACUUUCUUUUCCUCUUCCUUCCUCCAGUGUACAACUCUCAAGUCGUGUGCUUAUUUAGACAAAUUUAUUCCUCAGUAUUUUCUUCUUCUUUUUUUUUCUUGAGACAAGGUCUUGCUAUAUAGUACAAGCUGUCCUUGAGCUUGCAAUCCUCCUGCUUCAGCCUCUUGACUGCUGGGAUUACAGGUAUGUACCACCACACCUGAUUAUUCUUAAAUAUCUUUUUAUGGUGUUUUAGAUGGAAUUAUUUUCUUAAUUUCAUUUUCAAGUUGUUCAUUGCUACUGUAUAGAAGCGCAGUGUAUUUUUGUAUUUUGACCUGUGUUCCCCAGUCUUGCUAAGCUUGUUUAUUAGCU
ensembl:lincRNA